AUAAAAAGAUGGAGCGCCAGAGCAGCUCUCCCCUAAGCAGCUGUUCGGCUGCGAUGGACCAGAGCCGAACAUGGCCGGGAACUGUCGAAACGAUAGGAAGCCAAACUCCCGUUUAUUGUGUGUGUAGCCUACUUCCUGGUCCAAUUAUUACAGAUAGUCUGUUCCGUCCGCCUCCAUGAAGCCCAUCACCGCUCAGCCUCCGUCUCGGAUGCGUCCGAUUGUGCGAGAGACGCGAUGAUCCGAGACGUGGAAUGCAGCCAACGUUGUUUUUCAUCAAUGUUUUGUCAUUGUCUGCAGGAGCUAGGGCCAUUCCGUCCGAUAGUAGGCACGAAUGCGACGCAACUCCUGCUUGGAAUUACAUUUUCUUUUGUGCACCCAACGGGCUGUUAAUUUUUUUUUGAUGUGCGAUUAAUGGGAGAGGAAAACGGGUCGCCUUUAGCUCUGGGUUAGAGACUCGUAUUUGCAGAGUCUGGAUUCUCCAUGCGAUCAAGUUAUCUUUUUUUUUUUACCCGUGACCACUAAGAUAACGCUCCAAUGGCGUCAGUGUCAAAGGUAUCAAUUUUGGAUUACUUUAAUAUAGUCUUCGAAGGCGAAAAUGGCAAGAUCGAGUCCAACUGCAAGGCUUGUGGCACGAGAAUUCAGGCGAAGCGAAGUGUCACGUCCAACUUCGUAACGCAUCUCAAGCGCAAGCACCAGGCUAUGUAUGAUGAGUUUGUCAAAAGGAAAGACAUGAAGAGGGAGGCUUACUCCUCUGGGUCGCUGCACAGCUUCAAUGCCAACGGUGGGACCCCUCGCUACAGCCACCCUGCCAGCACUGGAGGAGGCGGAGCGCCGAUAGUCGGAGGAGUAGGGACCUUAGAGGGAGCAGGUGGAGGGGGAGGUGGAGGGGUGUCCAAGUUCGACAGACAUGAUCCACGCCAGGUGCUCAUCUCGGAGGCCAUCGCUAAGAUGAUGGUGCGUGACCUGCAGCCAGCGUACACGGUGGAGAACCCGGGUUUCAGGGAGCUCCUGCAGCUGCUGGAGCCGCGCUACACCCCUGAGCCCCGGCAGUACUUCCAGAACCAGCUGCUGCCUGCCUACGCCUACCAGGCCCAGCUGGCCACGCGACAAGCCCUGGCCUCGGCGCUGGCCCUGAGCCUGAGCCUGGACCUCUGGAGCAGCCUCUCUGGUGGGAAGUCAGGGUGAGGGGCUGUUCACGUCUACCGUCCAUCGGGUACACCAGAUAUCUAGAGACACUUCAGUAAUACCGGGAGGAGAUACUCUACACUGGAUGCUUUGCAGUAUAGCCAUCGAACACAGAUUUUACCUGCUGCUCAUUCUUAACAUGUUAACAGAUGGCAGACUCAGUUUAAACAUUAUGCCCUCCACAAUAGCCUUUAGAUUUUUACUACUAGCAUGGGAAAACAUUUAAUGAAAAUGCAUGCAUAUUCAAAGACUGAAGUCACAACGGAAAUUUCAAUAGAAU
ensembl:lncRNA